GCAGCACUGCCGACAGUAUUAGCUAUAAUUGUACGCGAUUAUUUGGGCUGAGAGAAACGGCGUCUCUGCUGCGAUAGCUUUUCCCUUCCUCCCUAGAUUGUCAGUUGAGUAAACAAGAGAGAUCGCAUAACAAGCAGAAAUCUUCGCGUUUGCUCGCGAUGCCUUUACUAGGAAAUCUCGCCUUCGAUAAUGGAGAUUCUACCUCACACAAAAAUCGGGAUACGAAGAUUGUUCUCAUGUGUUUUGGUUUAUCUAAUCGUUCAGUUGAAUUAAAACUCACUUUUUCGUUCCUGAAGCGUCACGGAAUAUGCCUUUCGUCAUAGCUGCAGUAGCAGCCGCAAGCCGAUUCAGCCAAAUUAUUCACCAAAGUCUUCAUUUCAGGUUAGGCGAAUGCUGCAUUAUUGAUGGUAUAUGGAAAUAUUUGAACUUUGGAGAGUUCCACGAAUUUAGGAAAUAUAAAUUAUUACACACAGAAAAAUGAUUGCUUUCGUAUGCGUAAGUGGGAAUGUAGUUCAUUUAGGUGGCCUUUUUCAAGGAAGAAAAGGUAUUAUUGGUAAAUUUCUAAAUAUGUACCAACCUUCGGUAAUCUGCUCGAUGUUGUUUUUUUCCAUAUGAUGGUCAUGUUAAGGUCCAUUUAUACGUUGCUAGUAGCUGACUUCACAAUGAGCAGCUACUGACCCGGUGAACUCGCUUGACAAAUGGUUGACUCGCCUUGUCCGUUCACACAAUGUGAGCUGCUGGCAAGAAACUAGAUACUACGGCACGGGUUUACCAGAGAUGCCAGACGAUUUUUCAAAUGUUCAUCAAAUAGUCAGAAACAGCAAUCAGGUCCGAAUUUGUCAGAUGAGGAAAAUGAAAAUGAUAGUAGAUUUGCAGAAGGAACAAAUACGCCUCGAAAACUAAAAUAAUGAAGGAAAAUCUACUUUUUUAUAUCGAUUAUGUAUUCUGUUUCUUAGAACAAUACUUUUUUUUGCAAGUUGUGAGUGAAUUCUGAAUGAAAAUUGUGCCCGAUAAUGAUUUUAUAUUCAGAUUCCCAAUAAAGUUAUCUCAAAAAGAAAACGUAUUAGUUUUCCAAUAAUUUUCAAAUCUAUAAAUAUCUUCGCACAUUUUCAAAUAUCUUAAAAAUAGAGACAUGUCAAGACAAUGUAAAGAUUUGGCAUCCCUGAUUCGAGCGCUAAAUUCUGUUUUUGACGUUUUGAGGGAUGCGAGUGCGAGUAAAUUCAAAAAACUUUGAAGUAGCUCGCACGCCGAAUCACACAUGACACUAACUGGAAUGAUGUGUUCACACGGUGUGAGUAGCUGCACUGCAGUAACUGACUAGAUCGACUCGUAUGCUUACUCGCACCGUCUGAACCCGGCUUUACACGCUCUGGAAUAGUAUUAAUGGACAUUGGCAUGGAUGACAAUUUCUUAAGAUGACGAACUCUUGUGGUUUAUUCUCUGUGCGGAUCACUGAAUGAGCAACUACUCCAAAAUUGUUCGCGGUAGGGUCUUUUCUAUGAUGAUGUUCCUGCAGGCAAAACUUACGAUAAUUCUCCAGUGCAAAUAUAGUUAUAAAAACUUUCCUUUGGAUUCCUAGUUUGAACUACGGAAGAUCGAGAACUAGAGAUUCUAUCGCUAAAAGUGAAAUCCCGAUUCCACUUCUAGAUUAUUUGAAAAAUUACAUCUAAGUUUAUGCUAGCAAUUGGAUAACCCAAUCCUCAAUGGCCAACAAUAGAAUUAGUAAUGCAAAUGGUUUUUGGUAUUUGGUAUGUAUAUAUAAAGUAGAUGUAAGGCUUUUAAAUGUGAUUUGAAUUUUCAUUUUCAGUACAAAAAAUAAA